rnacentral:rRNA from 1 species
GAUGAACGCUGGCGGCGUGCCUAAUACAUGCAAGUCGAGCGAACAGACGAGGAGCUUGCUCCUCUGACGUUAGCGGCGGACGGGUGAGUAACACGUGGAUAACCUACCUAUAAGACUGGGAUAACUUCGGGAAACCGGAGCUAAUACCGGAUAAUAUAUUGAACCGCAUGGUUCAAUAGUGAAAGACGGUUUUGCUGUCACUUUUAGAUGGAUCCGCGCCGCAUUAGCUAGUUGGUAAGGUAACGGCUUACCAAGGCAACGAUGCGUAGCCGACCUGAGAGGGUGAUCGGCCACACUGGAACUGAGACACGGUCCAGACUCCUACGGGAGGCAGCAGUAGGGAAUCUUCCGCAAUGGGCGAAAGCCUGACGGAGCAACGCCGCGUGAGUGAUGAAGGUCUUCGGAUCGUAAAACUCUGUUAUUAGGGAAGAACAAAUGUGUAAGUAACUAUGCACGUCUUGACGGUACCUAAUCAGAAAGCCACGGCUAACUACGU